CUUGAUCGACCCCAGCCACAGCGGGCGGCCGUCGGCCCGUUCCUGACCGUAGGUCGCGAUGAGCGCCUGGGCCUC
rnacentral:antisense_RNA from 1 species